UACUCCUACGGGAGGCAGCAGUGAGGAAUAUUGGUCAAUGGGCGCGAGCCUGAACCAGCCAAGUAGCGUGCAGGAUGACUGCCCUAUGGGUUGUAAACUGCUUUUAUGCGGGAAUAAAGUGGGGGACGUGUCCCCCUUUGCAUGUACCAUGAGAAUAAGGACCGGCUAAUUCCGUGCCAGCAGCCGCGGUAAA
rnacentral:rRNA from 1 species